rnacentral:rRNA from 1 species
GACGAACGCUGGCGGCGUGCUUAACACAUGCAAGUCGAGCGGUAAGGCCCUUUCGGGGGUACGACGAGCGGCGAACGGGUGAGUAACACGUGGGUGACCUGCCCUCAGCUCUGGGAUAAGCCUGGGAAACCGGGUCUAAUACCGGAUAUGACUCCAUGACGCAUGUUGUGGGGUGGAAAGCCUUGUGCGGCUGAGGAUGGGCCCGCGGCCUAUCAGCUUGUUGGU